AGAGUUUGAUCAUGGCUCAGAGUGAACGCUGGCGGCGUGCUUAACACAUGCAAGUCGAACGGUAACAGAGGGUACUUGUACUCUGCUGACGAGUGGCGCACGGGUGAGUAAUAUAUAGAUAAUGUGCCCCUUAGUCUGGGAUAGCCACUGGAAACGGUGAUUAAUACUAGAUACUCCUUCUUGUCACAAGAUAAGAUGGGAAAGUUUUUCGCUAAGGGAUCUGUCUAUAUCCUAUCAGUUAGUUGGUGAGGUAAGAGCUCACCAAGACGAUGACGGGUGGCGGGUUUGAGAGGAUGAUCCGCCACACUGGUACUGAGACACGGACCAGACUCCUACGGGAGGCAGCAGUGAGGAACAUUGCACAAUGGGGGAAACCCUGGUGCAGCAACGCCGCGUGGAGGAUGACGCAUUUCGGUGUGUAAACUCCUUUUAUGAGUCAAGAAANGGACGGAG
rnacentral:rRNA from 1 species